GGUAUGCCUAUGUCUAAUAGUAAACAAAAAACUUUUGUUUUGAAUUUUAUUUGGUUCAUCGCAGUCUCAAGCCUUGUUUAGUUCGCAAAAAUUUUCAAGAUUCUAUGUCACAUCGAAUCUUUGGUCGUAUGCAUGAAGCAUUAAAUAAAGACAAAAAUAAAAACUAAUUACACAGUUUACCUGAAAUUUGUGAGAUGAAUCUUUUAAGCCUAGUUACUUCGUGAUUGGACAAUGUUUGUCAAAUAAAAACGAAAGUGCUACAGUAGUCAAAAAAACCAAAAUUUUGCAAACUAAACAAGGCCUCACUAUCUGUGCGUCAGUCCACUCUCCAUAGUCCUGCUAGCUGGUCAAGUUUUCUGUCCAAGUCAAGUAUCGGGCUAGUGAUUCCCAAGUCGGCUCCACAACGUGACAAAUAAAGGUCAUCACGCAUGCAUGUGGGCCUUAGCAGGGAUUCGUCUCCUGCAGCUAUAUGGCAUUGAGUUUGUUUAAUUUGAUAUACUUAUAAGCUAUUCAUAUUAUGUCAAAAUAAGCUAUUCUACAUCAUCUUAUAUAUAAAAAAGGCCCAAAUAAAAAAAAAAGGUCAGAGUAUGGUUGGCCCCACCGUGUGG
rnacentral:lncRNA from 1 species